UACGUAGGGUGCAGGCGUUAAUCGGAAUUACUGGGCGUAAAGCGUGCGCAGGCGGCGCGUUAAGACAGGUGUGAAAGCCCCGAGCUUAACUUGGGAAUUGCGCUUGUGACUGGCGUGCUGGAGUGUGGCAGAGGGAGGUGGAAUUCCACGUGUAGCAGUGAAAUGCGUAGAGAUGUGGAGGAACACCGAUGGCGAAGGCGGCGACCUGGUCCUUUACUGACGCUGAGGCGCGAAAGCUAGGGGAGCAAACAGG
rnacentral:rRNA from 1 species